AGCAGAGGGGGCGUAGGCUGCUUCUGUUGUAGGGCGAGCAGCCCGAAAUAAAACAAAACCAGGCAGAACAAAGCUCUGUCACAACUGUGCUUCCUGGUUGUCGCCUCCUGCCUGCAAACCACUGAACAUUUUCCACUUGAUAUCAUCAUGCAGAAAGGGAGAAACGAGACGCAAUGAGAGAUUCAGGUGACGCUUGGUACAGCUGGCAAGAAAAAUGAGGACGUUAUUUUGUACAGAAAAAGUUGUUUCGGCCGCACCUGACAAAAGUAUGGUAUGCACGUCUCACAGUCUCCCUGGAAGCAUUGGCCAGUGUUUUGGAAUGUCCAGAUUAGGUAUCCUGAUGCCAUGAAGGAUAAUAAAUAUUUC